rnacentral:rRNA from 1 species
GAUGAACGCUGGCGGCGUGCCUAAUACAUGCAAGUCGAGCGAACAGACGAGGAGCUUGCUCCUCUGACGUUAGCGGCGGACGGGUGAGUAACACGUGGAUAACCUACCUAUAAGACUGGGAUAACUUCGGGAAACCGGAGCUAAUACCGGAUAAUAUAUUGAACCGCAUGGUUCAAUAGUGAAAGACGGUUUUGCUGUCACUUAUAGAUGGAUCCGCGUCGCAUUAGCUAGUUGGUAAGGUAACGGCUUACCAAGGCAACGAUGCGUAGCCGACCUGAGAGGGUGAUCGGCCACACUGGAACUGAGACACGGUCCAGACUCCUACGGGAGGCAGCAGUAGGGAAUCUUCCGCAAUGGGCGAAAGCCUGACGGAGCAACGCCGCGUGAGUGAUGAAGGUCUUCGGAUCGUACAACUCUGUUAUUAGGGAAGAACAAAUGUGUAAGUAACUAUGCACGUCUUGACGGUACCUAAUCAGAAAGCCACGGCUAACUACGUG